CGGCGGACGGGUGAGUAAUGUAUGGGGAUCUGCCUGGUGGCGGGGGAUAACUACUGGAAACGGUAGCUAAUACCGCAUAAUGUCUACGGACCAAAGCGGGGGACCUCCGGGCCUCGCGCCAUCAGAUGAACCCAUAUGGGAUUAGCUUGUAGGUAAGGUAACGGCUUACCUAGGCGACGAUCCCUAGCUGGUCUGAGAGGAUGAUCAGCCACACUGGGACUGAGACACGGCCCAG
rnacentral:rRNA from 1 species